CCGGGCUGUUGUACCUCCCACCCUGUGGAACAGGCAGGUGAAUUGUUGCUGUGUGCCUCCGUGCUGGCUGUGUGGAGGAUUCACCCCGGUGAACAAUGUUGCCACGAGCAAUAGGAAUGGAAGGAAGGGAAGAAGUAGUCCCCCUUGGUCUUCCCCAAACCAGUGCCCCGCACCGCUUGGUUCUUGGGUGCCUGCAGCCACCUGCCACUGCUGCAGCCAGCAGGUAUCCCAGAAACAACGGCAUCAGGAUCCAGUUUCUGCAGCGUGCUUUGAGAUCCCUGACCUGCCAACCAGAAUGCUCUCCCACUCUGCAUCUGAACAUACUGCUGGGUGAGAGAGGUGCUGGUGCCCCUGGUUAUGGGUGAAGGGAACUGGGGCAGCAAGGCAAAGUGAUGUGGGGGUGUCACUGGCUGGGGUCAGAGCUGCCUGCAGUGGGGUCAGCCCUCGUCCUGCAGAGCUGGGCUGUGUGCUGGGCCAGCUUAGCCCCACCUCACGCUUGCAAAACCCCAGGACAGCAUCAGUUUUUGAUCUACUGCCUCGUUGCCAAACCAUUAACUUUUCCAGUUUAAACGUUUAAUACGAUGGCCUUAUUUUGAAGACUGCCAGCUGAGCUGCCUCUGCUUAGGACUAUCAUUUCCAACUGUUCCCUGGCAAGAUGCUUUCUCAAAUGAUUUAAAACAAAAUAAUCAAAGUUGUAACCACAUCUGUGGCUGCCUUUAUCUCUGGGAGCAGGGAAAAUUAGCUUGGGGGCUGUGAAGUGCUUUCUGAAAUGGAAGUCUUCUCCUGCAGACAGCACAGCUCCUGGUGGUGGAAAGACCAGCCGCUAAUGUGGCUCUCGCUGGAAUUCCUGGCACUGGUUGCUGUGGCUGCGUGAAAAGAGCAGCCUAAAAGCCACCUGAUUUAGGCUGUUAUCCUAAAUCAGCUGUGAGUUCUCUUUAUGCACACCAUUCAGCUGUGCUGAUACAUUGGCAGGCCGACCCAGUAAGGAGCUCUAUAGUGUUAGUGAGUGAUUUUGCCUAAAUGCUUCUCUGUUUCUAUUAGCUCUUCCUCGGCAGCAGUAUCGCUCCUCCGCCCUUUCCUAGCACAGCUGGCAGAGGAGGAAACAAUACAAAUGUUUGCCUCAGUGGAAGAGAAAAGCAAAGGUACAGAGCGCAUCUGGAGCCGUCUCCUGUGCAUUGCUCCUGAAUUAUCAGGCCAAAUUGUCUGCUGGUGUAAAAAAAAAAACCAUCCCCCUCAAUGGCAUACCAAUGAGGGUUACACCUUUUUAUUGCAGCUGAGGCUCUGUCCCCGUCAUCUCUAGGAAAAGUUGAUUAGGUCCAGUGGAUUGCUGACUUCUUUUAUGAAGAAGCUGUAAAAAGUUCUUUUCUUCUGCUAGUGCUUCUCUCUGGGGAGUUGUUGGCAGAGAGAGGCAAGUCUCUCAGCAAUAAUACAUUUCAAAGUUAUUAUGCCAGCAGAAAAGAAACACAAGGAUUUGAACUUGGUAAUAUAUAUUUUUUUAGGACAGGCCAGAACACUAAAGGGACCCUUGCGCCCCUGCACUGCACAGACCUCCCUG
ensembl:lncRNA